CGAACGCUGGCGGCGUGCUUAACACAUGCAAGUCGAACGAGAACGGUACUAGCUUGCUAGUAUGUCAGCUAAGUGGCGGACGGGUGAGUAAUGUAUAGUUAAUCUGCCCUUUAGAGGGGGAUAACAGUUGGAAACGACUGCUAAUACCCCAUACUCCUUUUAUCUUAAUGAUAAUUGGGAAAUGUUUUUUCGCUAAAGGAUGAGACUAUAUGGUAUCAGGUAGUUGGUGGGGUAAGAGCCUACCAAGCCAAUGACGCCUAGCUGGUCUGAGAGGAUGAUCAGCCACACUGGAACUGAGACACGGUCCAGACUCCUACGGGAGGCAGCAGUGGGGAAUAUUGCACAAUGGAGGAAACUCUGAUGCAGCAACACCGCGUGGAGGAUGACACAUUUCGGUGCGUAAACUCCUUUUAUAUGGGAAGAUAAUGACGGUACCAUAUGAAUAAGCACCGGCUAACUCC
rnacentral:rRNA from 1 species